rnacentral:rRNA from 1 species
GACGAACGCUGGCGGCGUGCCUAAUACAUGCAAGUCGAGCGGAUGACGAGGAGCUUGCUCCUCUGAUUCAGCGGCGGACGGGUGAGUAACACGUGGGCAACCUGCCUGUAAGACUGGGAUAACUUCGGGAAACCGGAGCUAAUACCGGAUAACUCUUUGGAUCGCAUGAUCCAAAGAUAAAAGAUGGUUCUGCUAUCACUUACAGAUGGGCCCGCGGCGCAUUAGCUAGUUGGUGGGGUAACGGCUCACCAAGGCGACGAUGCGUAGCCGACCUGAGAGGGUGAUCGGCCACACUGGGACUGAGACACGGCCCAGACUCCUACGGGAGGCUG